rnacentral:rRNA from 1 species
UGCACCUACGGGACGCAGCAGUGGGGAAUAUUGCACAAUGGGGGAAACCCUGAUGCAGCAACGCCGCGUGAGUGGAGAAGUAUUUCGGUAUGUAAAGCUCUAUCAGCAGGGAAGAAGAAAGACGGUACCUGACUAAGAAGCCCCGGCUAACUACGUGCCAGCAGCCGCGGUAAUACGUAGGGGGCAAGCGUUAUCCGGAUUUACUGGGUGUAAAGGGAGCGCAGGCGGCGUGGCAAGUCAGAUGUGAAAACCCGGGGCCCAACCCCGGGAGUGCAUUUGAAACUGCCAUGCUGGAGUGCCGGAGA